AUGCUCCUCUGUCCAUGGGGAUUCUCCAGGCAAGAAUACUGGAGUGGGUUGCCAUGUCCUUCUCCAGGGGAUCUUCCCCACCCAGAGAUAGAACCCCGGUCUCUCUCAUUACAGGUAGAAUCUUUACCAUUUGAGCCACCAGGGAAGCCUCUUUGAAGGCCAGCUGGGCUUAAUUUUGUGAGACUCAAAGGAUGGGAGAAAUACACUUCACUCUUAAAGGUGCUAAGGAUUCCUGAGCGCAAAGACCUGGCCACACCCAACAACCUGUAGAUGCCAGUGCUGGGGGACAUCUCACGCCAAGCAACUAACUGGGUGGGGACGUAACUCCACUUAUCAACAGACAGGCUGCCUUAAGACCUCCUCUGCACACAGCCUCCUCUCGACACAGCCUCUGCCACCAGAGGGCAGACAACGUCCCAGAUCCCCUGUUCCGACCCUACCCUCCAAGCAGUCUGCCCUUGUCUCUGGACCAGGGCGCAGACCCUACAUUCAAGAAAGCCACAGUGCUGACUCCAGCAGGCCAGAUGGUGUCCUAAAACCAGCUGCACCCUGGUCCUGCCCACUAGCAGGCCGACACAAGCCUCAGGACUCCCUGGAACCUGUACUCCACUGUGAUAGGAACUGCUCUCCCCUCCUCUCCUUGUCCCCAGCGAGCAACCUGACACCAACGCUAGAAUCCCUGAGCCCUGCAACCAGUCCCCAGGACUCCAGGACCUGGUAAAACUAAUCCCAGGAUCUGGCUUCAGCCACUAGUGGGCUGUAACAUCCCCCAGAGUCUUCUGGACCCUGAUUCUGCCCACCAAUAUGCCAGAACUAGCCCAAGCGGGAUGGGAGACUGGUGGUUCUAGACUCAGUGGUUGCCUGACCCAGCCCCACCAACCAGCAGGUGGCAGCCUCCUCACAGGGCAGAGCCUGGCAACCGACCUGAACAGGGGCUGUCCUAGACUACCAGAUCAACCGCAUAUCAGGACCCACGUGGACAUCAUGGGGAACCCCAUAGAGCAUAAAGCUCCAGUGAAAAGAGGGGACACACAGAGGGGACAGAGAGGGGACACUACCGGGACACACAGGACUUCUGCAGAAGUCACUUCUCCAGAGUUGGGAAAUGGCACCACCCUACCAGACACAUAAACGUAAGAAUAGUGACCUGGGCAAAAUGAGCUGCCUAGAGCAAGAAGUUAGAAGUUUUCAACAAAGAUUUAGAA
ensembl:lncRNA